ACUGGGAUUCUCAAGGAGCAUGUUUUUGAUGGAGGAAGAGAUCUCAAGUAGCUGACUAACUAAUGUUGUUCUGCUCUAGUAGUAUCUGUCUGUUGUGAUUCAGAAAGGAUUAAAAGGUCAUGGUUCUUGUGCUCAAACCUCGUAAGAUUGUUAAUUUCAACUCAACCACUUUUUGGCAAAUGCCCCAUUCGUUCAUGUAUUUAAUUUACCCAUUGUGUUACUGUUUUUAAUUUGUAUAAAUUUUAAAGUGGCUAUUAAUUGUCUUCCAGAUAGUGCACAUCUUGGGCCUGCCUGUGGACAAUACUAGGUACCAGGCGUGCUGCUUCAGGUACCAUGCUGAAUUGGGCGCCCAGGGAAUGGAAUGGAAGGCAACAACUCAUUUUGCCAAGCGCCCGAAUCAACAUCCAUGCACGUACGUAGAGGAUAUAUACUUUUACUUAUUUAUCUAGUUUUGUAAAAGUCAUUUGUAAGUUUCAUGAGAUGCUUACU
rnacentral:lncRNA from 1 species